rnacentral:rRNA from 1 species
UGAGUAAAGUGGCGUACGGGUGAGUAACACGUGGAUAAUCUACCCUGGAGUGGGGAAUAACGCUGGGAAACCGGCGCUAAUACCGCAUAAUCCCGAGAGGGCAAAAGAGCAAUUCGCUUCAGGAGGAGUCCGCGGCCGAUUAGCUAGUUGGCAGGGUAAAAGCCUACCAAGGCAACGAUCGGUAGCCGGCCUGAGAGGGCACACGGCCACACUGGCACUGAAACACGGGCCAG